UAACACCUGGAAACAGAUGCUAAUACCGGAUAAUAACAGAUGAUGCCUAUCAACNGGUUUUUAAAAGAUGGUUCUGCUAUCACUCUUGGAUGGACCUGCGGUGCAUUAGCUAGUUGGUAGGGUAACGGCCUACCAAGGCGAUGAUGCAUAGCCGAGUUGAGAGACUGAUCGGCCACAUUGGGACUGAGACACGGCCCAAACUCCUACGGGAGGCAGCAGGC
rnacentral:rRNA from 1 species